GAUGAACGCUGGCGGCGUGCCUAAUACAUGCAAGUCGAGCGAACGGACGAGAAGCUUGCUUCUCUGAUGUUAGCGGCGGACGGGUGAGUAACACGUGGAUAACCUACCUAUAAGACUGGGAUAACUUCGGGAAACCGGAGCUAAUACCGGAUAAUAUUUUGAACCGCAUGGUUCAAAAGUGAAAGACGGUCUUGCUGUCACUUAUAGAUGGAUCCGCCCUGCAUUAGCUAGUUGGUAAGGUAACGGCUUACCAAGGCAACGAUGCAUAGCCGACCUGAGAGGGUGAUCGGCCACACUGGAACUGAGACACGGUCCAGACUCCUACGGGAGGCAGCAGUAGGGAAUCUUCCGCAAUGGGCGAAAGCCUGACGGAGCAACGCCGCGUGAGUGAUGAAGGUCUUCGGAUCGGAAAACUCUGUUAUUAGGGAAGAACAUAUGUGUAAGUAACUGUGCACAUCUUGACGGUACCUAAUCAGAAAGCCACGGCUAACUACGUG
rnacentral:rRNA from 1 species